rnacentral:tRNA from 1 species
CACUGCAUAGCUACUCUAGCAUUAACCUUUUAAGUUAAAGAUUGAGAGGUAUACUCUCUGCAGCGA